rnacentral:tRNA from 1 species
AUGUGAGAAGCGAAUAUUUGCAAUCAGUUUCGACCUGAUCCUAGAUAAUUAAUUUAUCCUCACUUU